GACGAACGCUGGCGGCGUGCCUAAUACAUGCAAGUCGAACGAACCGCGACUAGGUGCUUGCACUUGGUCAAGGUGAGUGGCGAGCGGGUGAGUAACACGUGGGUAACCUACCUCAUAGUGGGGGAUAACAGUCGGAAACGACUGCUAAUACCGCAUAGGACAUAGGAUCACAUGAUUCUGUGAGGAAAGGUGGCGCAAGCUAUCGCUAAGAGAUGGACCCGCGGUGCAUUAGCUAGUUGGUAGGGUAAAGGCCUACCAAGGCGAUGAUGCAUAGCCGACCUGAGAGGGUGAUCGGCCACAUUGGGACUGAGACACGGCCCAAACUCCUACGGGAGGCAGCAGUAGGGAAUCUUCCGCAAUGGACGCAAGUCUGACGGAGCAACGCCGCGUGAGUGAAGAAGGUCUUCGGAUCGUAAAGCUCUGUUGUUAGAGAAGAACAGCGCAUAGAGUAACUGUUAUGCGUGUGACGGUAUCUAACCAGAAAGCCGCGGCUAACUACGUG
rnacentral:rRNA from 1 species